rnacentral:lncRNA from 1 species
AUGACCUCCAGUAAGGGUCACCUACACUUUAGGAGGAGAUUUGAUUGGCCAGGAAGAGACGGAAACCGGGGUAUUUAUACCCGUCAUAGAUGUUCUGCCUACGUCAUCAACAUGAUGACGCAGAAGAGCUCUGAUAACGCAUUUCGGGUGUUUCCGUGGACAUCGAACUCGAUUUAUUUGGUUUCGUAAAGAAUCGAGCACAACCGGAAACAACCGAAGUAAACAACAAAGAUGGCGUCUGACCUAGGUAGAGCAAUGUAGAGAUGUAUAUGAUUUAAAGGACAAAUAAGGGUCUAGGGGCUAAAUUGUAAGGAAUACCCGGGCUAGUUGGGUAAGGAAGUUGAUAACCAAUUGAAACAGAUAGGGUUGACCACCGACAGCCAUGGAUAAGCUGGGAAAACGAGGAGGGGCGGGCUGGCACUGGUCUCCCGGUGAGAUCUAAAAUCUUGGACACAAAAGUAAACGGUAAAUAACAUCAAGUUCUGACAAGGCGGGGUGCCUAACAUUGCACCCUCCCUAAAAAGGUAUUCGGUCCCCGAAUAAGGUAGUACCGGUUAAGCGUAAUUAGGAACUGGCUUUAAACAACAUCACAUAAUAAUUAUAAUAAGUACAAGAAAAUAAACUUGUCAGAAUUUGAUAACCCAUAUUGUGCAUUACAUAAUAUAACCUUGAAAAAAAUUGUUUGCUUUAAGCAACCUUACUUAACAAUGAAUAAAUAUGAAGAAAUAUAACAUUGUCAAAAUAUGAUAUCCCCUAUGGUAUUAAAGCACACAGUAUACCUUUAAAAUAUUGUUUACUUAAACAAGGAAACAAUGUUCAUAACAGUUCAGCAUUUAUACAUUUAUACUAUUUCAAAUUAUUCAGACUCAUAGAUUGAAUGUCAUGCAUACAUUUAGUAACAAGGUUAUUCAAAUAAUACAUUUACUCCACAUUGCAUAUUUCAGACAUGGUAGAAUUGAGGAGAGGUAUCAAUGGCUCAGUUAUAAUACAACACAUAUACUACAAGAUACUCCAGUCAUUCCAAGGUAAAUCUUUAGCAUUUCACACUCUUCAAAUUACUUAAAUAAAGUUAAGUUUCACAUUUACUCUGAAUCAAGCAUACUUAAGAAAAGGUAUAGCAGCAAUUUACCAUUAAUACUAACUUUACAAUUAUAUCUGAUAUAUUAACAUACGAACAAUAAAGACAUUUAAGUCUCAAACGAUUUAAAUAGAUUUAACUUGGUGCAAAAAUCUACAACAAAAGUACAACAGUUUACUGUUCCAGGCGCCUAGGGAAACAGCGAUGUGUUCAUAGGAAAGUACUUUUAAAACUUAAGUUAUUAUGAUUUAAAAUAUCAAGGGUAUUCAAUUUCUGAAAAUACUUAACUACUAACACAAGUGAGAUCAAAAUACAAGUAAUACAGGUAAGUAUUAAUAACAUAUAUACAAUGUAGGUGCAUGCCAUCACAAUUUGGAUCCCAUAUAUUAAAUCAGUCACAUCCAGGUAAGCAUAAUUACUCAGUUUUUUUCAUGUCUUAACUUGCAAUAUUUCUUGAUAACACAAUAAUAACAAUCUACAUAUUCCUUAUUUAUUUCAGAUUGCUGAGUGUGAGGGUUUCUUGACUAAGGGAUGUUUGGUUAGAUGUGAGGGGUAUCUGUGUCCUAAUACAAGUGGUGCACUCACUUGGGGAUGUAUGAUAAAAGGAGGUAUGCUUAAGUAAUAGUCAUUCGAUAAUUCUUGGUAUCCUCAUAAAAUGUGCCGGGCCUACAAAGAUUGUAAAAUUGGAAAUGCCACCGCUGCAGUUUCGCAGACCGGUCAAAACGGUAUUUCAACUAAACCAGCUAUGACCCAUACAAAAGAACAUAACAUGGAAUACUACUGCUGCAGUUUUGCAGGCCAGACUUAACCAGUAGUCCAACAGAAAUUUGAUUGGACAAAAUUAACUGUACUGGCAAUCACUAGUAUGGACAUAACCUUUAUAAAAUGAAAAGAUCAAUUUGUGGCACAACAGAAGCUUAUCAAAAAAAGGUAGGGGAGACAAUAAGGGCUUGCACAAAACCCUUUGGCGCCAAUAAUAAUAAUAAUAACAAUGCCUGAUAAGUGACUGCCUAUUAAAGGAGAACACGGAGUUUUAACCCCCGGCCCACCGGCGUUGUCAAACAACCACAUGUAAAGUGUGGGAAAAUAGGGUACAUGUAAAGGGUGUACAGGCACAUAAAAUGUGUGCCCGCAGGGCCUCCAGUCUAUCAUUUCAAAUCACCGGGCAUAACGAGAACCCUGCAAAUGGCUCGAGCUAGAAUAAAGACAGGCUAAAAGGAAAGUCAGCAAUGGUGUAGGCCUAAAAUAAUAAGUCUCCCAAUAAUAAUAUCAUCAUCUCAUUGUAGUAUCAAAAAUAAUGUGGUGCUGACAAUAAUUGAUUAAAAUAUUAUAGAAAAGUUUGUGCAAUACAUUAGCUUAGUGCAUAAUUAAUAAUCUCGUAUCCUGACCGUACGGAACCUUUUGUCAGUUAAUAAUAAUGGUGUCAUAUACCUCCAAUAACAACUUAAUAAUGUAUUAAGUUAUGUCAAGAAUACCAUUUAAGUAUUAGUUUUCACAUAUUAUUUCACCUCCAGUAAUAUAGUAUUUACUAUUUCAAUAAUUCUCCAAACAUUAUUCAAUAUCUAAAUAUUUAUAAUACAUAUCAUAAUUUUCUAGGUAAAGAAGAAUGAUUGUAAUGUCAUAUCCGGGCAAGUGUCACACAUGGGAAUAUCGAUCACUACUUCUAUUAUAAGAUAUCCAGAAGUUUGACGUCUAGAUGAACGUUUAUGUUUCUUGGUAAUGAUAUGGUCAAAGGCUUGGUACUGUGGUCUCCAAUAUUUAUGGUGUGUUUGGUUUACCCAAUGCCAGAUCUAUGGGAAGGUUCAUUUCUCUACCAAACAUCAUCAUUGAUGGACUGAAACCUGUUGAACUAUGUGUGCUGCUGUUGUAUGCAAGGAUAAGUAAAGGAAGUGUCAUUGGAGAAGUUAUCCCCCAUGUUUAAGUUUGGAAAGUCAAUCUCUGGAUCUGGGCUUGCAUUUGGAAUUCUCCUAUACAGCUUUGGGCAGGACUUGUGACCUGUAAGAGAACGUCUACAGUCUAUGGGUGUAAAGAUGGGUGUACACCAAGGGAGGUCCUUAGGUCCAAUGGAACCAGCCAUUAAACCUGUGGAGCUGAAAUCCAGUAUCCAGGGAUUGCGCGCUAAUCGUGGUUACCAGAUGGCCAAUCAUAAUCCCCUCGAAACAUAGACUGCAGUUUCCUUCCUGAAAUUAUCUUUUCCUGAAUCUAUUAUUUGCAAUAAAAUCUUUGGCUCUGUGUUUAUUCAUUUCCCCCUAAAUAAAAUGUUCUGGCCUGUUGUGUUCUCCCAAAUGUGUUGUUUUCUAUUAUUUUAUUUUUAUUGGUACAUAAAUACAUGUAUGAUUACUAUAGCGCUGGACCAUGGUACCUGAAUACAUCAGAGGAAUAUAAUCAUUAAAGAUCUCUCAGGAUUCGAAAUGUCUGUAAGGAAGUCUGCUUAUUUAUUGAAAUGAAAUUGAAAACAGCAUACUGAAGUAGUGUGAACAUCAUAUUGGUAUUCUCUUGUAAAUACUCUGUGAAAACAUGUCUGGUUCAUACAAACAGUCUCUACAUAUAUUUUAAUUUGUAUAACGUAUAAUCAGUUUAUUUGAUAUCACCAGGAGGGAAAAUCAAAGAAGUCUAGAAGCUAUGGUUUUAUGAAAUAAUCUCAUCAUGGUCCAUAACAAUCAAGUUUCUGGAAGGUCUCAUCAAAUUAAAUAUUUGUACACUUUAUAAAUCUAAGUAUCAGUGAAGAGACGUUUUGGGGGAGCUAUAUAAUGAAUAGCUGUUAUAAAUAUGUAAUUCCAAAUGUGGUAAUCAUUCCUUUUAAAGUUAGUUCUCUAGGUCAAAUAUACAUCAUCAUCAUCCCACUUCUGACACCAGUUGUUCUGUCCGUGCACCUGCCCUUGCACGCGAACAUUUAGGGUUCGUUUCUAGGCGCUAGCUGUUAUAUGAGGGACCGAGCGGUACAUGCUCUCCAUGAGUCUAUAGCUCUACCUAUGUAUGUCAGGAUAUAUAUAUAUAGAAAUAGAAACUUUAAGGAGGCCGGAUGGCUCAUUCAGGAGUCUCUAUCAUGUACUCUAUUAAACAAUUGGCCCUGGGUUCGAUUCCAGGUCAGACUCCAUUUCUAUAACACAGCUCCUUCAUACUGGGGACCUCUUUGGGUUUGUAAUAAGUAUAUGGUUACUACACUACAUAACACAACACAACACCAGCUCAAGGUUAUUAGUUUUAAUGAGGUGAUAUAUAUCUCUUCAUAUAUAAGACUAAGUCCAACGUAUUAUG